rnacentral:rRNA from 1 species
UGGGGAAUUUUGCGCAAUGGGCUAACGCCUGACGCAGCAACGCCGCGUGGAGGAUGAAGGUCUUUGGAUUGUAAACUCCUGUCAGCAGGGAAAAAGCAAAUCGGCCUAACACGCCGGUGAGUUGAUUGUACCUGCAGAGGAAGCCCCGGCUAACUCUGUGCCAGCAGCCGCGGUAAUACAGAGGGGGCAAGCGUUAUUCGGAAUUAUUGGGCGUAAAGGGCGCGUAGGCGGCUUGGCAAGUGGAUGGUGAAAUCCCUCGGCUUAACCGAGGAACUGCCGUCCAAACUGCUUUGCUUGAGACCGGGAGAGGUGAGUGGAAUUCCCAGUGUAGCGGUGAAAUGCGUAGAUAUUGGGAGGAACACCAGUGGCGAAGGCGGCUCACUGGACCGGUACUGACGCUGAGGCGCGAAAGCGUGGGGAGCAAACGG